UACAGAGGGUGCAAGCGUUAAUCGGAAUUACUGGGCGUAAAGCGUGCGUAGAUGGUUCACUCAGUCGGAUGUGAAAGCCCCGGGCUCAACCUGGGAACUGCAUCCGAUACUGGUGGACUAGAGUGCGGUAGAGGAUGGCGGAAUUCCCGGUGUAGCGGUGAAAUGCGUAGAGAUCGGGAGGAACAUCCGUGGCGAAGGCGGCCAUCUGGACCAGCACUGACGUUGAGGCACGAAAGCGUGGGGAGCAAACAGG
rnacentral:rRNA from 1 species